ensembl:lncRNA
UUUUAAAAUUCUGUGUUGGGAGCAAUGCUACAUAAUUCUAGGGAUAAAUCAUUUGGUUAGCCUAGUUCUCUUGCCUACAGCCCAGCUACAGAAUAACUCCAGUUUGGCCUCCGGUCACAACUGAGACUUCAGUGAUCCAGUGAUGCUGUGAUUCUCCAGGACAAGAAACAUCCUGGGAGAACAAACAUCUGCUCAGUUCCUCAUUGUUCUUGGACUGAUUAACAUCUCGUUUACCGGAGAUGUACUGAACUCUCUGCAAGCCUUCCGUUACACCUUGUUUAUCCCAAUGUGAACUAUUGAACUCUCUGCAAGUCAUUUGUUACAUUUGUUUCUCCGGAUGUACUGAAUAAAAGGUGUGGUAAGCUGGGGGCUUUGUCUUUGCUGCCCAGAGCAGCACUCAUCAGAACCAAAGCUCAGCUUCUUCUCAGUCUCAUUUUUCUACCUUUCCUGUAAUUCGCUGUGUGCUGCCGUGGCUUGCAGGAGACCAGGACUAACUGCAGAGGUUCUGGUAAUGUCCCCUUCCCCUGUCCCCUACAUUUGGUGCCCAACGUGGAUGUGAAUCGGAUCCAGGGGUGAACUCACCUGUGAGACAAACUUGGAGUAAGAGAGACAGCACACGGAUCUCCCAGGACGAUUUCCGGACUAGGACGAGGGACACCAGUGGUAAGUGUGUCCAGCUGGGGGUAAUUUUCUAUCUUUGCUGAGUUAUAACUAUGGGUCAGUCUCUGUCCACAGAACAGCGUAACUUUGCCAAAUUACUUAAGUUGCUGUUAAAGCAAGCUGUGUACCCAGUACCUAAGGGUGCUGUGAAGAUUUGUUAAAAGACAUGCAAAUGUAUGUCCCAUCUUUUCCCCAGGAAGGGACAGCUUAACUUAAUAUCAUGAGAACGUGUAGGUACCGCUCUCUGUGAGGCCUGGCAAAGGGGUAAUUGCCUCUCCCCUGACCGCUCCCCACUUGGGCCUUAGUCCACUGAGGUCAGAGUUGCUAGCCAUUAUAUUUGUGAUUGAAAACUUCCCUCCCCAACCUCUUAAUAUUUUAAAUGAUUCCUCUUAUACAGUUUGGUUGACUCAAAGACUAAGGAGCAAUGGUCUACUCUACCUUAGAACCUAAAUUAUUAAACUUGUUUUUAAGAUUACAAAAGGCCAUAUGUCAAAAAAUUCCUCCUGCCUUAAUAACGUGGGGGAGAGGUUUCGCCUGUGCCCUAACAGAUAAUGAAAAAAAUCUUGUGGCUGCCCUCCUGGAAUGUGAGACCGUGGGUCACGCUGGUGGAACCGCCAACAUCUCACAGAAUCAAUGAUAGCACCCUGGCUGAAAGCGAUGAGCCAGCUGCACCUCAGGGACCCACCUCACCAGCGACAACCAACAAAUCCAUGGCAGGGUCCAGGACUGAGAUGAUGCCCCCAGAGGAAUGAUAAUUAUAGAUUUAUGGUAAAAAAUUUAUAAAGGUGGGGGACAACUUCAAAAUGCUCCUUUUAUAUUUACAGGUAUAAAAGCGCUUUCAUUCCUUCUGAUUAUAAUCUCGAGAUCUCUGUUAAUUGACUAUUCCAAAGUUUUUGACCAGUCAUACAAUUAUAAAUCUAAUAAUCAUAAAAAGGAUAUUACGAUUCAAUUUGGCUAAAUAUAUUUGCUUGCACUCUGAUUUUGUAAAUUGUCUUAUAUGUUUGUCUGUUGUCUGUUUGUCUGUUUGUACAGUUGAGCUCAAUUUUUUUUUUCUCUUUUUCUUUUCACCUUUUGAAAAAAAAAAUUUUUUUAAAGAUAUUCACCUAUUGUUAAAUUCGCUUACAGGUAAAUGUUACUAAAUUAAAGGCAUGCCUUCCUUCCCAGGUUGCUAACUGAUCAAAGUGCCACUGAGAUUUAUUUUAUAAAAGUAAUGUAUAUUGUCACCUACAUGCAAUAAUCAAAUUGCAAUAAGCAGUUGUAAAAUAGGAAGAUAUAUAUAUUCUUAUUCUUUGUUUGUCAAAAUAGAGACUGUGGGUACUCUCUUUGGUGAAUAAACAAGUGGCCACCCAGAAAAUAAUUAUUCUGGUCUUAAUUCACUAAAGGGACCCCCUAGUAAUUUUUAUAAUCUUAUGGGAGACACACCACAACAAAUAUUGUCUCAAUGUGUUAUUAUAAAUUGAUUACAUUGGUUAUCAUUGAAGUUUAAAUUCUAAAUAUGUUAUAAAUUGAUUACAUUGGUUAUCAUUGAUGUUUAAGCGCUAAAAAUGUGAUUGUAAAAUGUUUACAUUGGUUAUGUUCUGAAUAUGUUAUUGUAAUAUGUCCACAUUGGUCAUCUUCAAAAGCUUAAUUUCUGUGUCAUAAACAAGAGUGUUAUUAGAAAGAUGGUUUUGGUACCAAACCACAGUGAAGAAAAUAAGGUUUUAUGUAACUAUGAUAUUUAUUACUGCUCCUUUUCUGGUGUACAAAAUGUAUUCAUGCCCUCUAAUUGUAUGGGUCUUCUAACAUUGUUUAUGGUAAUAACCUUUUGAUUCAGGUAUUUGCCCUUUUCUUAUGCUCCAGCCACCUAUGAAAAUAGGCACACUUGUAGGUUGAUAUAUUUUCCUUAGAUGAUGUCCUAUAAAAAGAUAGCUACUCAGGGAUCCAACCACAACAGCAACUGUCAUUGGCAAUAAUAACAGUUUAACUAUAUUUUUAUUCCAAAAUGCUUAUCUCCAGGUAAAAUUAUAACAGUUGAGUUCACUACUCCUCUUACAAUGCUAAUGUUAUUGAUCUUCUCUUCUGGGUGUUCAACAACCAAAGUUUAGAGACCAAAACUGAAGAGGUAUUUGGGCUAAGAAGGCAGCCAAUAUUUUGGCCCUGGCCCUCCAAGGUCAACAACAAUAACAAAAAUAUCCAGGAUAUGAGGGAACCAUCUCUGAGAUCCUGCAUUUUUGGUGAGUCAUCCAACCUCCUGAGCAGGGAGGUUGCUGAACACCAAAACAGUAAAGAUCCAACAAAAAGUGUGCCAAAGGAAUGUCACCUGGAGGAAAAAAUCUCCCAUGCUUUCGCAGGAAGCAACAUGGUCAAGCAAGGCCGUGACAUAUCCUGAUGGGUGACACUGACAGAGGAGCUAAGAGGCUCUAUGCGUGGUUCCAAGACAGUGCCUGUGGAGACUUAAUUGACCUUGUUAGAUAACAAGAGAUUGAUUUUAUUUAAUAUAGGUUUCACCGUAACUUGAUCUUAAACACCCAGUAGAAAAGUAUAACUAAAGACAAUAGUUAUUUGAGUUCAACGAAAGUUUUAAGUUUUUAAACCCAAUGUUUAAAAACAAAUUGUUAGAUUUUUUAAUCCUUUUUCAGCCCCAAUUAAGAAAAAUUAUGCUUAUUAUAGACAGCUGAGCCAGUCAAACUAUAAAUCCUCACACUACAUAGGGACAAGCCAUUGUUGGGUGUGCUUGCUUUUCAAUAAAACUCCUUCACAUAAAACAAAAAGAAAGGGAGAUAUGUUGGGAGCAAUGCUACAUAAUUCUAGGGAUAAAUCAUUUGGUUAGCCUAGUUCUCUUGCCUACAGCCCAGCUACAGAAUAAUUCCAGUUUGGCCUCUGGUCACAACUGAGACUUCAGUGAUCCAGUGAUGCUGUGAUUCUCCAGGACAAGAAACAUCCUGGGAGAACAAACAUCUGCUCAGUUCCUUAUUGUUCUUGGACUGAUUAACAUCUUGUUUACCGGAGAUGUACUGAACUCUCUGCAAGCCUUCCGUUACACCUUGUUUAUCCCAAUGUGAACUAUUGAACUCUCUGCAAGUCAUUUGUUACAUUUGUUUCUCCGGAUGUACUGAAUAAAAGGUGUGGUAAGCUGGGGGCUUUGUCUUUGCUGCCCAGAGCAGCACUCAUCAGAACCAAAGCUCAGCUUCUUCUCGGUCUCAUUUUUCUACCUUUCCUGUAAUUCGCUGUGUGCUGCCGUGGCUCGCAGGAGACCAGGACUAACUGCAGAGGUUCUGGUAAUGUCCCCUUCCCCUGUCCCCUACAAUUCUGAUUGCUCAACAUAUACCUCUUCUCUCAUUUUACAGCCCUGCUUAUGAUACUUGUUAUCAGCAGGAGACCCAAAGGCUGCACACCUUCCCUCCUUCCCAUUCUUGUAAUGAAUAAACACUGGACAUCUUUGGUGUUCUUUGUCUUUGCUGUUCAGAGAAGAUCAGAUCAGCCAAAGACCCAACUUCACUGAAGUCUCUGUCUCUGUGUCUUUAUUCUCUCUCUCUUUUCUAUCUCAUGGAUGUCAUACUGGCUCAUAGGAGAUCGAGACCCAUGGCUGGGGAUUUUGAUAAUCCCUCUUAUAGUUUCAGAUUUACUCCCAUGAUAGUAGAUAAAAUAUUCUAUUAUAGGAUGGCUACUGCACUUUUAAAUUACCUUUUGUUUCUAUCAUAGUGUAAGUCCAGGCUGUAUCUGUUUAAUUAAGCAUCAUGUCUACCAUAUUCCUGGGGACUGGUUAGGUGUAAGUACUUAUGCCUUAAUUAAAUGUGUUUGACACAGUCAAUAUGAAAUCUAACAAUGCUGAGAAAUUAAUUAUAAUAUCUACUCUAUUAAUUUAUUUAUGUUUUAAAGAUGUAACUAAGCUUUGGAAGACAUUCAAAUUUUUAAGAUUUAUAAGUCAGAUAUGAAGUUUCCUCUAAAUACAAAUACAAGAAAAUAGUUUAUAAGAAAUAUUAUUUGUUUUUUUUAACAAGUCUUAAUUAAUCUAAGCUUAUGUUUUCUAAAACAAGCCUUAUCCAAAGAAACAAAUGAGUGCCUUUUCUGCUUCAGAAUUUCUUUGUAAGAGAGGCUUAGGCUCAUUAAUCAAUUGUGAAGAAAAACUAGGCUGCUUUGAAACUUUGCUUUCAAAUUAAGCCCUUUUUAAAGGUCUUAUGUUAUAUAUUUCUGUUACUAUUGGCAUAAACUGAUAGAAGUUAUGGAAGGGCAUCCUAAAUAAAAAUGGAAAACCAAACAAAACAAAAAUAUUGGCAGUACACUAUUGUUUUAACUCUUGGGUAUAUAAAAUACAAGCAAUGGCAGAAUUAUGCCAUGAAGUGAGCAUAAUAUGCACCUUGUGGUUAGAAUUUCUGCAUUUUUAUAUGGCUAGAAGCAUAGUUAUUCAAAUAAUUCAAGUCUCAAUUAUUUUUUGAUAACAUAUGCAUGAACAUGUAUAAAAAUUCUACUCCAAUCAUAGACCCUGCUUUGUGCCCUUAUUUCUUACAAAAAGCCCAGGAAGAAGGUAAAAACAAGAGUGCUAUUGGACUUUAUAAAUGAUAAUUAGUAUCAUCUGUUCCUUAACAAUUAUGCAUUUUUGUGUUUAAAGGCUACUAUGAUUUAAUAAUAUUGAGGGCAGAAUUAAAUAUCUUUUAAAAACAUUUAGGUAUGCAAAUUUGAGGUAUGGCCAAGAGCUCGAACAGAUGUUUAAAAUUCUAGCUGAAUCUGUUUGUUCAUUCUAAAUAUGUGUACAUAAUGUAUUGUGUGUGUGCCAUUUUAUCAAGCAUAUUUGCAUGUAAAUGUAUGUAUGGCCCUGAUUCUGCCAUCUUUAAUCAUGCAAAACUACCAGUGGCUUCUGGUGGAAUUAGAGACAUAUCAGUUGGGGCACAAUUAGCCCACAGAGAAGAUCUUAAAAUAGCUAGAGCAACUGUGUCUGUAUUAGUUACUUUUGUCUUUGUUGAAACAAAACACUUGACACUCACAAGUAAAAGGAGAAAAGAUUUAUUUUAGCUCACAGUUUGUCAAGGUUUCAGCCCAUAAUUGCUUGGCUCCAAGGCAGAGGGGCAUCACAGAGGAGAAACAACUCAUGGUAUGGCAGACAGAGGCAGCAAGCAGGAUCAGCAGCAAGCCUGCCUUUCCUAUCUCACUUUAUAUUCCAUCCAGCAUACAAACCAUCCAGGGUAGGACUUGUAUUAUCUACACCCAUUAUCCCAGUAUUAUACCUUUAAUCCACAUUCUCACACCAUAAAUUCAGCUACCUGUGAAAAGCUCCACCUAUGAGUGCAUGAGGCUUUGGGGAAAUAUCUAGCCACAAGACAUACCAGUGUCUGCUGACAAUAGAUAUGCAGUUAUAAAGCAAUGCUUAUAGUCAAAGAUUGACAAGAACUUCAUAAGCCUAAACAGAAGAUUUAUAAGGGAACCUCUGAGGUAUGAUAUUAAUGUAAAAUUAAUAGAAACUUCAGUUCUUUCUGUUGAUUAGUGUCAUGUUAAUAUUUUCAACCUAUUUGUAUCUAUUUUUAGCAUAAAUUUCUCUUGUUCUUCUCUUGUUACAUAUACCUCAUACAUAUAACUCCCACACAUCUCUAUUAGUGAUUUACUUAAUACGAGGAACCCUGACUUAGAGUCCAUCAAAGUACUCAGAUAAUUUCUACUGACAUAGGUAUAUAGUGCUUAUAGAAAAUAAACUAAUGCAUUUUUAAGCUAUUUUUUCCUUAUAGUUCAACACAAUUUUUACUAUGGUAGGUUAAAUUUUUCUGAGUUUCAAUAAACAUUUUGAUGUUUAGUUAAUCUGUACUGUUUAGUAAAAAUUUUAAAGUGGAUCUCUCUUUAUUUGACAGAUUCAAUUGUUUAAUAAAAAUAACUUAGCAAUUUCUGUUUGCUGGAUAUUUUUAUUGAGGAACAUCUCAAUGUAUUUCACAAUAAAUCCCUUUCAUAUAUCUAUAUUAACAUCUAUAUAAAUGUUUUGAUUUUGUAUCUAUGGAGAACCUUGACUAAUAUAACAUUAAAGCAAUUCUUUCUCCUGAAGAUUAUUUAAAUAUAAAAAGCUCUACUAAAUGAAUAACUCUUUCACUAAGAUAAAAUCAACAAUAAAAUUAAACAGCAGGAAAAGGUACAAACACUGCAAGUAGAAACUUGUAAGCUUUGUCCAAAAUAAGUUCCCAAAGAAUGGUAUAUUCUUAAAUUUAUAUGUUAGAAGAUACAUUUGGAAUAUUUCCUACUUGUAUGUAAUAGUGGACUGCUAAGUGUGUGGAAAAUUCAUGAGACUUUUUAUUGAAAGUUACUAUUAAGAAUAAAUAUUUAAAAUUUCUACACUAGGAUAUUUAAAACAGGUUACAUAUUAUAUCUACUUACUCUGUCUAAAAAUCUGUGUAUAUUUUCCCAAAAUGUGUCAAUCUAACCUACACAGCUCUUAUCCUACUACAGUAUAAAAAGUUCAAAAACGAUGAAUAGAGAUAGUAUAGAAAGUACUUAAAGCAGACCAAUGGCUUCAUAAGACUCUUGAAAUUAUAUUGUGCACAUAGGAUAAGAAAUACUAUUUAUUGGGGCUGAGGAUUUAGCUCAGUGGUUUUGCCACCUGCUGCACAAGUGCAAGGACCCGAGUUCGAUCCCCAGUACCUGAAAAAAAAAAAAGAAAAAAAAAGAAAUACUAUUCAUUUGGCAAAUCUUUUAGCGUAAGGAAGAGUAUGUUUGCAUUAAAAUCAAUGUUAAUUAAAAACACCUCUGAAGUGCUUCUAGGAGUCAUGUUUAAUAUUAUUUUAUUUCUGACAAUUGAAUAAUACAAUUACAUCUAAUAACAACAGUAUAAUAUAUUUAAUUUUAACUAACUAGUAGUAUACUACUGAAAUUUUUUGAGACUAAUUCUAUCACAGAUAUAUUAAGAGGCUAAAGUAGUACAAAACAGUUAUUUUGGUUAAGAAAAUUAUUUUCUCAUUCAUUCAUAUAGAUGAAAGAUUAAUAUGCCUAUCCAUCAUAGAAUUACACAAUGAUGUGAUAAUACUAGAGAAUAUAUUAUAAUGUAUAUUAUAUUGCAUACAUAAUAUAUAGUUAUAUAUAUACUAAAUAUCAUACUUGAGAAUAUAUGUAUGAUAGAUUUAUUUCUUAUAAAUAUAGUAUAGAAUAUAGAACAAACCUUUGCAUUCAGGCAUGUCAACUAUGUAUGUACUCCAUCUCUCUCAUAUGUCCAUAUAAAACAGCCUGGAUUAGACCAAAAGAGCAGUGAUCAUAUAGGUAGCUGGAGGCUUCUAAUAUUCCAAAGAUCAAUGGAGUUGAGCAAUGGUAAGUAUACUGUUAAGAAGUUGAAAUCUACACAGGAGCACAAAACAAAAGGUAAUACUUAUUCAAAUAGACUCAAUGCAAUUUAUUCAUCUUUUUAUGUGAAGAGUUUAUGAAAAAAUGACUCAUUUUCUUUUCCUUUUCCUAAAGAAGGAAAAAAUGAAAACAAAGCUUUUGUGAAUAAGGAGGGGAAGAAGGGAUAAAGGGAGGGUAAUGGAAUGGGAAAACAAAAAGUAUCAAGAUAUAUCAUGUACAGGUACAAAUUCCCUGUGAUAAAUGUAAUUUUUAUGUAUAUCUAAAAUGUACCAAUAAGCUUAAUUAAUAAAAAAUGGAAAAAUGACUUUGCCUAUUAUCUUUAGCAGAUACUAAACUAUCUAUUAUUCAGGUAAUUUAUACUAAAGUUAAUUUCACUUUCCCUGAGCUAUUUCAAAGGGCAACUACACUCUCCCUUUGGUGGAAACAGUUUUUGAAAAGCCAACCGUACAGUUAUACAAUAGAUAUCAUUUUGAACUUUUUGGAAUUUAGUUUUAAAACAGCACAAAAAACAACCAUAAAAGGGAAUAAUAAUGUAUUAGAUUUUAGAGGCAAAUAAAACAAGGUAGGGAGAAAAAAAGUUUUGAAAAGUAGUAUAUAAAGAGUCCACAUCAUGUGAGUUUAAACAAGAAGAAAAAUGCACAUUAUUCUUUUGUAUUUUGUGUCUAUAAUACAACAAAAUAUAAUUAACAAUUAAAAAUUGCAUUUGCUUCUCCAAAUUGUCAAUAUUCUAAAUCUGAUAUCUUUUUCAUCAAACAAUCUUUUUUUCACUUUCUUCUUUAUUCAAUAAAAAAUAGACUUUCCAAAACUCACUGUUACUUUUUGAUUUUUCUUAAGUGUGACUGGCCUGAAGGUGGCAUUGUUGGAGUAGAUCAACUCUUUGGUUGAUUCCUGAUGAGAUGUUGUUACAGUAAAUCAGCUGGUGUGAAGAUGGAAACGUUAUACUCUGGACUCUACUGGAGUUCAUCUCUGCUAUUUGUAUUUUCUUGCCAGGAUUUUCUAAACAAAAUUUUAUUUGCAUUGGAGAAUUGGCCAUUUUAUUUCCCAAAUAUUUGGAAUUAAGUGGCAUGGUCCUGGUUUUGGAUUUUCAUCAACCUUAAAUAAAAAUAUUUAUUAGUAUUAUUAGUAUAAGUAUCAAAACAUUUAUUAUUAAUUAAUUAAUUUAUUUAUUUAUUUUGGUUCCAGUGUUUGAACUUGGGUCCUUGUACUUGUGAGGCCGGUGGCGGAACCACUGAGCUAAAUACCCGGCCCCAAAAUAUUUAUUGGUACAUAUAUAUAUGCAUAUAUAUAUAUAUAUAUAUAUAUAUAUAUAUAGCAUUCAUCAUAGGGAAUUUCCUCCUGUACAUAAUACAUCCUACAUUUUUUUCCCAUUCCCUCCUUCCCCUUAGACCUCCUCCCAUUUAUAUACAAAAAUUUUAUGUCCAUUUUUUCCUUCCAUUAAGUAAAAAUCUUGUGGCCCAUAAAUUGUUUCAUUUUUUAAUUGUGGUAAUCAAAGAUAUUAGCAUAUACCAGUUUCAGGCCUUCAGCAAUCUCUACUGUAAGUUAAUAUAUUUUACUCCUAUAUAAUGUGUCUAGGAUUCAUAUCUUUAGUGAUUGCUGCUCCAUUGGUCUUGUAGCAAACCCCAGCCAUGCAUUCUAUACACUCAUAUUUUUCAUUAUUUUGUUCAAAAGCUGAGUAAAAGGAUCAACUAGAACUCUUUUUGCUUUGAUGCAAUAUUUUCAGGGGCAUGUUCCUCAGCUGUCAUUCCUUUUCAGUUUGGUGUGCAUGGUUGCCUGUUUGUACCUUGAUCACCCUUCAGUCUUUCUUCCUCGACACUCCAGAGUCAAGGAAAUUCCAGGGAUCUGAUUUUAAGAAGAGUUCACUGGUUCAGCCUCCUUGGGUGACCCAGCCACUUCAGCUCCCUCUGUGCUACUCUUUUUUUAAAAUUAUUAUUAAUUUUAUUGGUACAAUUAAGGUAUAUUGCUGCUGUAAGAAAUGAGAACCCAGGUGAUCCUGAUAUAGGGGAAGAGAUGUAAUUUCCAAACCUCCUAGAUAUCCAAAACGUGAGUUCCUGUUCUCUAAAAUUGAAGAAUGAAUUCUAGGAACAAUGAAGUUUAAGAGUAGCAAAAAUGUAUUGGGAGAAAGAAAGCUUCUUCCUAAGAGAGAUAGAAGGGGGACUGAAAAGUGGGUUGCCUGCCCACCCCACUUUUCAAAGAUGUUUUAUGCAGUAAAGCCAUGCGGUGAGGUGGGUACGAAGUGGGACAAAACUAUAAGAUCCAAUGGAAAUUUACAAAGUGGGCAUUAGGUGGGACAAAAUCAUGACCAACCAAAAAGAUUGCAAGUACAGUCACCCAGGUAAUAUUGAUUAAAUGGGGAUCAAAUGGGAAGACAAGUCACAUAUAAGGAAUUUCCCAUUUAGAAUAUCAAUCACUGCUAUCUAUCCCCAGGGGAAGUAAUACUUCUUUUCCUUUUUAUAAUGCUAACCAGUGAAUAUGCCUCAAUUGUUCUCCAUGUUGGUUCCUUGCAGUGUUGGCUCCAGGAGGCCUGGUGCCUUAAGGGAGGCCCUGUCUGCCUGACAAUAAGAUAUCUAAUUAACUUACCUAUCUAUAAUAAUCCCACCCAGGGGCCACUUUAUGGACUUCAGCAGCUGUUCAGUGAAACAAUUAAUUUCAGCAUUACAGAGUUGUAUUAUUUCCCUAAAAUGGUGAUUACAUUCUUUUCUGGUUUUCAUUCAUUUGUUUGAUAGCUUCAAUGACAAAAAAGCAUCAUACAUCUCUUGUUGUACCAUAUUAAAGCCCAAAGUCUUACUGUAGCAAUACUAAAAAUCAUCUGUUUUUGCUCUUCAGUCAGAUUUUACAUCCUUGAAAUAAAUGUCAGAUAACUGUGCCCACAACCCAAGUAGAAUUUUAUUUGAAGUAGAUCCUAAAAAAUGUACACCUUUUAAAUUUCUUCUCAUCUACUUUAAAGGAAUAAGGCAUUUGUACAAAGUAAAAAUACUCUGAAUUGUUUAUCAUGUCCUGUAAGCAAGAAUAAGUCAGUAUAAAUCAAGUGAUAGCUAUGAAAUGUAUAUUUAUUCCAAAAGUUAUCUGGCAAGUAUUAUUGACAAAUAAAAAAAUUUAGCCAUAAAAAGGUAAAAUCACAUACCUCAAAGGGUACCAGUAAGCACUUCCCUUCUCACUUACCUCUACAAUGCCAAACUUGUAAGUGAAACUUAUGCUGUUUUGUUUGACACUAUGUUUUAAACCAUUUCAUUUGUAAAAACUAAAUUCCUAAAAUAUAUAGUAGGUAAGUCUAUACUCUAUUGGCUCAACAAAAAUUAAUUGGAGUUUUCUCUAUGAGCUCGGUAGUAUUCUAAGCAGUAAAGAGGCAUUAAGGAAUGAAAGGGAGAGAAUAUAAAUUUUUUUAAAUUUUAAUAUUUUUAUUAGUACAUGUUUGCAGUACAUGUAGAGCAAUAGAUGUAGAAAGCUGGUACUUGUUUUUUAUACCCUACCCUUCUUUUCCUUCCUUAAUCCUUCCAACACUUCCCCUUCCCAUUUGCAAAAGCUCUAAUUUCUCCUUUAAUUUUCCCAUUCUGUUUUUCUCUCCUCCAUCCAUCUCUUGCUCCACCAUCUACUGGGAAAUAUCUUUUAUCUUCUAUUUUUCUUUCUCUCUCUCUCUUAUAUACUUAUAUAGUAUGUAUAUAUGAGAAAUCAUUUGAUUUUUAACCUGGUUGUCUGACUUAUUUCACUUAAUAUUAUGAUUUCAGUAAAAUAACAGAAACAAACAAUUAGUAAAAUAAAAAGUAAGUUGACUCUGGACAUAUUUUCUAUAAAAAAGAAAGAAAGUAAAAUUGAUAUUUGAUUGAAUUCUAGCUAUUGUAUUGUCAGAAAAAGCUUCAGUGAAAAUAUGCAAAGUAGGAUAAAGUACAGGAGAAACUGUGGCUAUGUAUCAUGUUAAAUUGUGUUCCAAGAAACAAAUACCAUUGUUUUCUAGGAUAUAAUGGCCCCUAGGACAGUAAGCCUCAACUACAUUGAGAUACAUAAAAUGUUGAAAUACAAAAUUUAUUUUAUUGUCACAACAUGGGCUGUGAUUGCUUCAGGUAGUUACUAAGUAGAGGUUACUGUUCCAUAGGACAGGUCCCUACAAUAAAGAAUAAUCCAGCCAUAAUUAGUAAUGCUAAUAUUUAUAAUGACUGUUGUAAGAUGGUAAUUUAUCUUUUCUUUCAAACAUGGCAAGGAGGCUAGGGGGCUGGAUCACAAUGAGAUAGUCACAGACUGCCAGCUAUUGGAGCCAAUUUAAUAAGAUCACUGCAUGCUGUCACAAAAAUGGUGUUGGAUGAGAAGACUGGGUGACAAAGGGAAGAGGUUGUGACAAGUAUUGAGGAAAACAUGAUGUCCACUUGCAUCUGUGGCAUAAUAGUGGAGCAAUGAGCGGUGGUCCAAUCCUGAAUAUGUUGUGCCCAGAUUGCGUAGUCCCAAAGACCACCAGGAAGCCAAUCCCGAUGUAAGCACACGAGGGUCAUUUAUUCAAGCUCGAGCAGGGGCUCUCAACUGUCACCGACGCAGUGGGUCGAGAUUGAGAGCCCCAAAUUUCAAAUUAGCGGGACUUUUAUAGAGGUUACAGCAAGGUUUGGAGAUUUUCCACUUAGCAGUUACAUGAUUGGUUGACAAUUAGCAAGCAUGAAGUGUACAUUUCUGAUUGGCUAGGUGCAUCAGGGGUUGAGGGGUGGCUACAUGUAGGUUUUACAAGGGAAAAGAGGGACAAAGGUUAGUGGCCGACUGUCACGUACUGAUGGUCAGCAGACACACUGACUAAUAGUCACGACCAUUACGUGCUUACAGUCAGCACAUCUACAGAUUGUUCUAUAGAUAGAGGGCCCGGAACGUUCAUUUCCUGGGCAAACAGAUGGCUGAGUAAUUACCUCAGGAAUUUUGCUUCAUUACAGAUUGUAUCUUUUGUCCCAAAGUAAGCACAUUUUAACCAUUAAUUUGUGAGAGACUAGGGGAAUGGUGGAUUUUAGCAAAAUGGAGUCGCUUUGGUCUCACAAAUAUAUUUGAGGGUAAAAUAAAUACGACUUUCUGAGCUGAACUUGGGAGUGGGGAUGAGGCCAAAGGGACAGAGAAAAAGCCAGUAGCAAUUGAAAUAGACUUGCCAUUAACUGAGAGGAGAACACCUUCCAUCGGAUGUCCUUGCCUUUAGGAGCUGAGCUCUAUUGUAUUAGUUUUAAAAUAAGCAUAUUUAUGUAAAUAUAUUUGAAUAUCUAUGAUUGUCCCUAUAUUUCACAAGCUGUAAAACAUCCAAAAGGGGAAAUUCAAGGUUUGGAGAGAGUUUAGAUAUUUAAUUUAGGGUUAUUAGGCAGUAGUUGAGGAAAUUAGAAUUACCACACUGAAAGCUGUGGUAGAUUCAAAUUUGAGGGCUUGUUAUUUGGAAAAAGUAAACUAAUUAUUCAGAAGUGUUAAAACAGACUCAAAAAAAUGAGAAGAAAUUUGAGAUAGCAGAUUAUAUUUUAAAAUAAUGAAAAGAAAUUGAAGAAUAGGGGCUCUACAAUACUAAAACUGUUGGGUCUUUUUUUGUUAUUAGCUGUUCACGCUGAAUGUGAAAGGUUUUGUUUGGGGAAUAAUGAGAGAUAUUUGUCUCUUGGGAGAGAUAUGAGGUUCUUUGGAGUGUGUGUUUUUUUUGUGUGUGUGUUUUGUUUUGGCACCCAGGAUUGAACUUGGGUCCUUGCGCUUGCGCAGUAGGCGGCAAAACCACUGAACUAAAUCCCCAGCCCGAUAUGAGGUUCUUAAACACUAAACACCAUCAUUGCUAUUCACUGUUGUGUUCACAAGUCAUCAAUGCACCAUAAUAAAUUUUGUAACCAUCAAUGAAUAUAGAAAAUAGAACAAUUAUUUUGCACAAUAUUUUGUAACAAUAGGAUCUCUCAUUUGCAGACAUGAGUUGUAGUUUAAUCAAAUGAUUCAGGUUCAGUAAAGGCAUCUUUGUUUGAUUUUUAAUGAAUAUACAUAGCCAUUUUUUAGAAAUUUGCACAGGAGUAUGAUAAAUCUCACCCAAAUAGAAUAACUGCAGCAAUUCUUUUCCCAGGUGCUGUCCUGAAGAGGGUUACACCUUCUAGACACAGAAAUACCUGACAGAGCUCAUUUUGUUAUUUUUCUCCAGUCAGCAGUACUUAACAAUUUUGUUUAAAGAUAACUAUGAUCUGGAGAAUAUUGUACACUUUGUUCUCCAUUUUAAAAUGUGCAAAUAUGAUUUGCUAGUUUCUAGUUUUUGCAAUUAUUAACUUUUUCUUCAAUGAGAAAUGUAAUUACAGCUAAAUUCUGUAACACUUGUCAGGAAAUUUAAGAAUGCCUCCAGCAAUCUGAAACUACUUGAGCUGCAUUGAGCUAUUUUAGAAAAUAAAUUGAUACAAUUUUUGUGCAUUCCAGAGGUGUAUGACCUUAAGGGCAACUGGAAAUUUUAAGGGAGUACUUUGUUAUUCAGAAUGGAAGAGUACAUCAAAAAAUCAAUAGCUAAUAAUUACCAGUGAUGCUGUUUUGUUUUGUUUUAAUUACAUGAGUUUGUUAUAAAAUAUAUACAUAGAUUCAGAAAGUUGCUGGUUCCAUUAUUUUCAGGAUGAUAAUCAUUUCUUUUUGAGGACCUUGCUCUGUACCUAGUUUUCCUUCUUUAAAAAUCAGGACUAUAGUUGGCUGAUAAGGAAAGACUUUAGGCAUUUUUAUCAGUUUAUACGUUGGCAAGCCUGACUUUUGUGACAGGUAAAAGAGAUACCACCCUAAAUCCUGAUUCUCCUUGCACAAUUGGUUCAUCAUUUUGACAGGCAAAUCAACCCAAAAGGCAAGAAAUCUAUUUUUGGAUGUGGCAAGUUCCCUUAUUUCUUUUUCUUUUUCUUUCUUUCUUCCUUUUUUUUUUUUUUUUUUUUUGAUUGUGCAUAAAUUGUUAAAAAUGGUUGGAAACACAGACUAGAAACCUGUUUUAUGAUUUUGUACUAUUUGGGAAAGUCAGAAUAAUUCCUAUUACAUGGUGGGAAAUAAAGUGGGCCUAUUCCAUAUCAGAUUUCUCAUACAUGUCAAGCAUUCUCAGGAAAAACAAUUGUACAAUUAAGAUUUGAAAUCCUUUCCAGCAAAAAAAGCAAAAUCCUGAAGAAAAAUAGUGACUUAGUUAUUCAAAUUCUUCCUUAAAUAAAAAAUAUUUUUAAAAUAUAUUAAUUUGAAUAAGUUGUGUUAUCUCUCUGGACUCCAGUUUUCUCAUUUGUAAAAUAGAGAUAAUAAAAAUAGGCCCUAUCUAUGUUCCAGGGAAGAAGGUUUGAAUAGGAUACAUAACUUGGUGAUAGUCAUGAAAUCAGAAACUGUCUAAAUAGCCUUUAUGUCUAAUCUUUUAUGUCUUAACUCUUUACCUGUUUAUCAUAGUUGCAUAAUUGUAUUUUUAUUUUUAUAUCAUAUGGCCACUCUUCACUUAUUAGUUGAUAUUGUUUUGGGCAACACGUGAAUUUGUGGAUCUCUUCCUCCUUGAAAUGCUCAUUUCUCAUGGUUGGGUUCAGCAUCAUUCCCUCCUCUGAACUUUCCUCCUCCCCUAUUAUUGAUUGUUAUAAUGAAAGAUUCUCUUGUGAGAUGUUUACUUACUUUCUCUUAAUAUAUUAUUACUUGGCUAAUCUGUGAUUCCAUCCCUUUUUGGAUAUAAAAGCACAAUCACUACUUCUGUUCAGUUCUCUAAUCACAGUCCAUUUACUUCCCCUAAAUUCUAUAUAGACAGUAGUAUCCUAAAGAUUUCAAAUUGGCUCUCCCAGGCAUCUGGACUUAUUUUUUAUAGAAAACCUAUACUGUAACUACCUUCCCUGUAUCAAUGAUGAAUAUUAAUUUGUGCAAUCAAAUGUAGGAACUGGAGCAUUCCCAUUCCUAAAUCUUUCAUUACAACAAUUGUUUUGGUGAUUUGUUCCCUUUAGCACCUCAAAAUUAGUGCCUGUUUUAAGGACAAGGUAACAUGUAAGAGCAAUAGAAAUAUUUACAAUGGUAAUAGUUGACCCUUAUCAACACAAUGAGAUGAUAGUUUCUUGUUGUUUUCCAAAGCAAAAUGAAAUCCAGACUUUGACUUGGAAGAUGUUUGUUAACAGCUGGAAUAAUCAGUAACUCCGCAGAACCUGAGCCACACCAUCUGCUUUUCUUAGCUGUACAUACACCUUCUUUGUUUCUGAGCACAUUCUCAGAUGGGCCUCAUGACUAAACUUCUGCUUGCAAACAAGAAAGAUAAAAGCUUUUAGAGCUUGACCAGAAGGAGGUGAUAUAUGGAACCAAUCUUUGACCCAGGUCACUCAAGUCAAUUUUCUUUAUUAAUGAGAGUGUUACAGUCUAUGGAUCUCAAUACUUGUUAUUCAAAGAGAACUCUAAAGAACUUAUUCUGAAAAUGUGAAGAAAACUCACCCCUAAACACAAUUGCUACAAAACAGUGACUAGUAAAAUUAAUACUAUAUGAUUUUAUUUCAGGUAGCAGAAAUCAACUGAGAAUGGCUGCUGUGCUUUCAAUAUUAUGCAGCUGGUAUGUCAAGAGGGCAAAGAAGUAAUCUGCAAGUGAUACUAGCAAAGAUCAUCUAAUUGAUGAGAAGUUAAUUUUGAUGACUUACUCCAAAAAAGACUGUCCCCACUGCAGAGGACAGAAGAAAGGAACAUACCACAUGGGCAGAUGUGUAUCUUCUGUAAUAAAUACAUUCUAAGCACAUAAAAUCAGCCCAAAGAGAACAUCCCAAUGCUGCUGACAAAGAAAACUUUGGGGAUUAUGUAUAUCUCCUUUUCUUUUUUCUUUCUUUUCGUUAGGAUAAAUAUCUGUUAGGAAUUAAUGCAUUGGAAGAGGAAAAUAAGGUAAUCUGCCUACCAGUUCACCAGAUAUUCUUCUUCAAUAAGUCUUGUAUGCCAACUAUGGUUCCCCACUCAGAUUCCAGUUUGCAGCACUGGAAAGCAACAACAGCAGCAACACACUACUGGAAAGUUUAUUAGUAUACUCCAUUGUGAUUUGAGGAACUAUGCCUAAUUUAUCAUGAUAUUCUAAAAUCCAUCAUAAUACCUAAAAACAUUGGGUGUUUAAUGAAAUCUUUUUCAUCAAGACAGUAAUUAAAGAAUGGGAACCUAUUUUCAAAAAAAAUUCUAGCUUCUAUGCUAGUUAUAAAAUAGCACUAGUAAUCCAAAUAAGUAAGUGUUUGGAUUUAAUAAAUUCAGUCUGGAUCGAAUGUAACUAUAAUACUUACAUAUGAAUGAAAGAUCACCAUUGUGGUAGAUAUGCUAAAUACCACAGGCUGAUUGGUUAAAAAACAGAAUUCUAUACUUCUUAUCCUGGAGCCGGAAAAUCUGAGGCCCAAGUGCCAGCAGAAUCAGUUCCUGGACAAGGCUUUCUUCUUGGCUUGUAGGUGGUCAUCCUCUUGCUGUUUCCUCCCAUGGAGGAAAGAGAUAUCUGACAUCAUUUCUUCUUUUGAUAAGCCAUCAUGAUGGCUGCAUUGUCAUGAUCAUUUCUACACUUAAUGUCCUCUCAAUGACUGAUGCCCAAAUGGAAGCACACUAGGAAUCAGGCUACAACACAUGAAUUUUGGAGCAAACUUAAUUUCCUCUCUAGUACUCUCUAUAUUUAAAAUCUGCUUCAUAAACUUUCUGUCUGAAGACAUUUGUAUCUGUCUGCUAUAAGACUUUUACUUUAUAACCAUAUGAUCAAACAAAACUUAAAUAACAAAAAUAUAAGGUAUUCUAUGCUGGAUAAAAUUUUACAAUGUAUUCAAUUGUGAAGCAGGAAAGAAACGGAUGUGACAUUUUAAAUCCAAUAUAUACUAUGUUAAAGAAGCAUCAAAUCAUUUUUAAUAACAUACUCUCUUGCCAAAAAAGUAAAUAGUUUUAUCUCUUCUCUGAGAGUUCCACAUAAAGCAAAGUUGGUUAGAUAUCUUCAAAUAUGAUUUAAACCGUAAUUUUUGAUGUCAAUGAUAUUUGACAUGUUAAAUUGCAUAACAAUCAAAUCCAGCUUAUUUUUACAUUCAUGAGUAAUGACAUUUAUAGAAAAUAAAAGAAGUGACUAUUUUAUUGUAUUUUUUCCUUAGGUUUCAUAAAAAUUACUAGACAUCUGUAUCUACAUAAAACUGAGAAAUAUAGAUAUUUCAAAAUUUCAAAGGCUGAGACUUUAGUAUUCUUAUACCUCCAAAAUAUUCAUUUCAUCUCAGAUUGUAUACAUGCAAGAAAAGUGUGGCUUUGAAAAAAUGUAGGCAACCUACAUACAAAUAGAACUUCUAUAAAGAUUUAAAUUUUCCAUAAUCUUUAAUAUAUGUUCAGAGUGGUGUGAUUUUAAGUGUCAUUCAUACAUAGCUGUAUCUAGCAGUAGUUUUUUUUUGAAGAUUUGUAUUGUUACAUGUUUUAACUUGUUAAAAGAAUGUUUUUCUUCAAAAUCAAAUUAAAAUACGUUUGUAAGAGAUGAAUAUAACUGAAUUUCUAAUUCCUCAUAUGUUGUUUAGGUCACUUUGGAAAUAAAUAAUUGUCAUAUAGAUGCAGAAAAUAAAUUCAAAUCUGUGAUAAAUAAAUUAAAAAUAAAUUUAUCUGUAAUAAAGAGGAAUUUAAGUCAAUAAUUUGGCCCAAUGGCAGACUUUACAAUCUUUUCCACAAAAAGGGGAGAGAAGAUAUUUUGUUACUUUGGUAGUGAAUAUUAUUUUCUAUGCUUAAAACAAAAAUUAAUGUAAUAACUAAUAUCCUUAUUUUAAUUAUAAAUGUCAGGGUAAAAGACUUUUCUAAACAUCAUCCACAGAACAUGUGAAAGGAUAAAGUGUGAGUCAGACUUUUAUAUUUGUCUGACUAUAAUGUCAUUGCACUCUUUACCAUAUUGAUUUAAUGUGUUUGAUUCAAACAGGAUGGUGCAUGGCACAGCAUGUACUCCUGGGCACCCUGUUCAUUUCAGAGGACCCUACUGGUUCUCUGUGGAAGCACCUAAUUCCUAACCAACAGCCCAACAUCAGUCCUUAGUUAUACCAACUGUAGGAGAAAGAAACUAGUGCAAUGAAUAUACUCUUUCUGCUAUAUUACCUCUUUGUACUAAAUAUUAUAUUUCCUAAUAUUAACCACCAGGUUUUAAAAAGUUAUUUAUACUUCUUGGUUUCUUUUCUCAAGUUCAAAAAAUCUAUAAUUUGUACUAAAUUUGAGAUUCAAAUUCAUGGAUAUUAUGUUCUUAUCUCACUGGCUAAAGAUUAUCAAAUAAUUUACUGAAUUAUUAAUCUUCAUACGUGGCAAAUGGUGAGAUUUAUAUUUUAAAAACAUGAUUAAUAAACAUCUCGAUUUGUUUUAUAUUUCAUAACAAGGUGCAGUUGAUUCCUGCCACUCUUUAUGACAAAUGUAUAGUAACUUUCCUGGCAAAUCGGCAUCUUACUCAACAGGUGGUUAGUGGUCCAGAUUUCACACUUUUAAUGUAAGAAACUGGUUAAGCUGGUCUGUAUGAUUUUUGACUGUAUAAGGAAUAUUAAUUCUUAUUUAACUUAAUACAAGUUAGUAAUUACUGUCUCAAUAGCAGAAAAGUUAUAUUUUUUGUUUUGUUAUUAGAAUUUAGUACAAUGAUAUUGAAGUUUGGACAAUAUGAAUACAGCACAUGAAUUUGAAAAAGUAAUAUUACUAACCAUGUAAUACAUAAAAGUGGAACACAGUGAGGUCUUUUAAGAGCCUGACCUUUUUGAACUGGACUUGAAUGGUCCUAAUGUUCACAAGUUGCUGAUUUGGAGCCACACUGGGUUUAGCUCACAAAAGUGGUAUUUUGAAACAAAUUUGCCUUUAUACUCACAGUCAUACCCUUGGGAUAUGAAUCAUUUUCCAAGUAACAUUUCAACAUAAGGGAAGUGUUUAUCACAAGAUGAAAAACAAAAUAUUCAAUGAACACAAAGAUUCGGAGGACAUGCAUGAAAUCAUCAUUACAUUGCUAAUAGACAUGUUUUAUGGCUAUUCUUUUCUAUCAGUGCAAAAUAUAAAUAUAUAGAUGGGACUAAGUUAACAAAUGAGUAAGUUAAUUAUUUUAUUUCAGUUUAAGGCAAAUGAUGUAGCCAAACUGAUGAUUCAAAAAUGAAGAAAAUCAAAGAAUAAAAAACCCAAGUUGUGUAUGGUGCUGAGCAGAGAGAUUCCUAAUGAAUUUUUUGAGCUAUAUGAAGAUACAACUCCUAAAUUACAGGCUCUGCUUUUUGUCUAUCCUUAGUUGACUUGGCUAUUUUCUAAGUCAGUGCUCAAGGUCUUGUCAUAAAUAGAGUUAAACUUAGGCAACUAAAGUCUAAAGUUAGACAAUGCAAAAUUGUGGCAUUAUGGUAAAAUGCAAAUCACAUAGAGAAAAUGAGGAACUAGAAUAAUUUUGGUGGUUAUUUGUAUUUAUUUACUAAUGGGCUGAAAAAUAAAUGGAGAAUUCAUAGGCCUGUUUCUCUAAUUCUUGGGUCAACUAAAUAUUUUGCAAAUGGCAGAACCUCUAACAAUCUCAAAAUGUUCAUGUACAAGUUGAAAUUGAGCCAAUAAUCCCUAAGAUUCUAUCUAGUGCAAAAUUUUAUAAAGUUUUUCAAUUUUCAAAUAAUUCUUUGGAUUGAACUGAUGUUGAUUUUAAGGAUGUAUACAUGUUAUGGAAAUCUUCCCAAAAGAGUUGUAGACAUCAUAGCACAUUGAUAUAUGCAUAUCCAUGUUUACAGUGGCACAAUUCAUAAUAGCUAAAUCUCAGAAACAGCCUAAAUGUCCAUUAACGGAUGGAUAAAGAAAAUGUUGUGUUUAUACACAAUGAAGUACUACUCUGCCAAAAAGAAGAUAAAAUUGAGUCAUUUAUAGGUAAAUGUAUGCAACUCAAGAACAUAAUGCUAAGUGAAGUAAAUCAGAUGCCCGAACUUAGAUAUCACAUGGUCUCCCUUAUAUGAGAAUCUCAAUACAUAAAUAAAGUGCAAAGUGAGGAAUGGACAGUAGAAAAUAGUGAGCUGGAUCUGUGGUAUAUGAGAAGGAAACAGAAAGACAGUAUUUUGGGGACACUAAUUUUUAAAAAGGGAGAGGGGUUUGUGAAGAGCCGUGAGCAUGCACCAAGUCCCUUCAAGGGGAGGGAUCAUCAAAUAAUAUAUUUAUAUAUAUAUAUUAUAUAUAAAACAUAUAUUAUAUAUAAUAUAUUUAUAUAUAUUAUAUACAUAACAUAUAUAAUAUAUAUAUAACAUAUAUAUAUGUUACAUAUAUGUUCCAAGAGGUCCAGGGAGAGGGAGGGAAGCAAGGGAGAGGGUUAAAAAAGAAAUUAAGAAAUUUCAUAAAGGGCAGGGGAUUUAGCUCGGUGGUUCGGCUGCCUGCACUGCAAGCUCAAGGGUCUGAGUUUGAUCUCUGGUACCACAAAAAAGAAAAAAAGGAAAUUUUGUAAAUAUCAUGUAUGUGUACUACCUCCCCAUGAUGAAUGUAAUCAUGAUGUACUACAAAUAUAUACCAAGAAAAUUUUCUUUAAUUAGAGAAAGAAAGAAAAUCCUCACAAAAAAUGUUGAGGGAUCUCUGAAAUUAUAAACUAUGAGAUAAGCAGUAAUAUCUCUGUCUCCUUUAUUUAGAUAUUACUAAAAGGAAAAAAAGGUCAACACUAAGUUACAUUGUCCAGAAAGAAUGUUUUAAAUCUGAAAUGAUUUGAAAUCUUAAAUAGUCUAGAGAGAUGGACUAGAAAUAAACAAAAGAAAUGACUGAUUAUGAAAAAAACCCUAAUCUUGGGUCCAAAUAUCUUUUUAACUUAAAAUUUUACACAAAAAUUAUAUAUUGUUCUGGGGUGGAGAAAAGGAUCUCUUAAAAAAUUUUAUUAUUGGAGUAGAAAUAUUAAAAUGAAUACCAAUUUCUAAGUAUUUUUUGAAAGUGGACACAUGAUUACAUAUUUGGUGUGCAUUAGCUAUAUGUAUUUUGACUUCUUCAGUAAAGCAAUGUUUACAGGAAGUCUAGUUUGGACAUAUUUUUGAUAUAAUAUAUAUCAUAAAAUUGUUCUUUUAAAUAUCGGUACAUUUUAAAAAAUGUCAACGCCAGCUUUAUUAGCUGUUCUCUAUGAAAUAAUAUUCAAAUAUUUCAAGAAAAUAAGUUUAAACCCCCACCCGAUUCAGUAAAAUAAAGUUAAAUAUGAUAAGAACAGGUGUUUCAUUAGAAAUUUAGCCAGUGGUGCAUCUUAAGAUUCCCAAUGGCAAAAAUACACUGUCACAUAUUGACCCAUUGGUCAGUCCACGUUAUGCUAAGUUGUACUUGUUCCUGAACACAAUUCUUGCUCUUAUAUUAAGUAGGGAUGAAAAAAGAUUAUUUCUCUCGGUUUCUUUCCAAUAGGUAGAAUCCCAGAUACUAUUACAUUAGUGCCAUUUUACAGAGCCCGAAAAUUUGUACAGUGGAAUGCAUGACCCUCUUCUACAGCUAAGAUUGAAUUCUGAGUAUGUUUGGCAUUCUUUUUGAGCUGGACUUAACUGAACUGAGAAACUGGGUGAUGUGAUCACAGUAUCUCAGGGAUCUCUAAAAUAUACUGUAACUUAUUCAAAGCUAGGUUGAGUUUUCAUUUCUUCAUAACAUUCUCCACAUUUCACUGUGAACAUUUUCUUUGAUGGCUACACAUACGGAACAAUCUCUUUAUCUUUAAUAUAUGAGAGAUAUUUGAACAUUAAUGAUUUAUUGAAAAAUUAUAACCAUCAAUAAAUAUUAAAACCCAAUUGUAUGAAGAUUUUUGCAAGUGAUAUAGUCAGCUUCACCUGUCAGAUGAAGUCAAUGGGGCUAUAGUUAGGUGGCUUGAGGUCACAAGGUAGUAAGGCAGGGCUUGUAAAGUCAAAGCAGUCAGACUAGUGUGUUUCAUUGAUUUGAAUGCUAUAUUUCAGAUUGAAUUGAAAAUUUUAAACUUUUGUUCUCAUGCUUUUCCUUAUCAUUAUAAGUAUAUGCUUCAGGAUUUAAGGUGUGUUUUAUGUGCCUUGCACAAGAUUUUGAUCAACAGUGGACAACCUCUUAGCUACAUGUGCAUCAAUCCCCUCAGUGCUACAUAUAGGACAGCUCCAUUUUACUGCAUUAGCCAAAAUAUGUCUAAAAUUUUACAGUGAUCAAACCAUGGAAGUCUUUCCAUUUUUUUUUGUCUUAUCAGAUCCUUCCACUGCUUACUUUGACUAUGAAAAAAUGACAAGUUGGAGGAUGGUCUUGCUAUCCAGGGAUUCAAAUGUACUAUGUAUUUGAAGAGGCAAGAGUAGAGGUAAAUGAGAGAAAUAAAAAAAAAUAUUGGAAUAGUAUGGAAUAUGCUCCAGAAGAGUUUCUAUACCAAGUUACUCCACCUUUCCCCAUCACACUCUUGUCUUGUGUUUCUCAGAAGCAUUUAAUACUUCUGCCCAAGUUCUCCCAUAAGUUAUCAUAGCAUACUUAACCUCUGAGUUCAAAAGCUGCAGCCGAUGUUGCUCAGGAUGUGUUCUGCUUGUUCAAACAGUAUUUCCAUCCCCAUACUUGGAAAUACUUAGAGUCACACAGCUGUCUAUGUUUCUUGGCCUAUGAACCACCUUCCUAAAAUGAGUAUAUAAAUAAAAUUCUCAGGUGAGAUAAGUUAAUUAAACUAAACUAGAAUAGCCCAUCUCUUUCUGGCACCUUUAGUCAAGUAAACUGUCUAGAAGCAUCUGCCCAGUCCUGAUUGACCCAUCUGGAAAGAAUAGUUCUUGUUCUGUCACAGAGGUCUAAAAAAGAGACACAGGAAUGGGUAUUACAAACCUUCAGAUGUACCAACUGGCAUCAUUCUAUCGUAGGUAGGACUGCAGUUCCUCCCAUUUACCUUAUGAAUAAAAAAUGCAUAAUUUUAUUAUACUAAUUAAAAAAUGGUUUGCAGCUAAACCCAUUUCUGUAGAAAAUAUUACGCUGGAGGUGGUUCUUAAUGCUACCUUAUUGGUUAGGUCUAGUUUUUCUCUCUUUUAAGGUUUUCAAAGAACCCUGUGUAUGUGGUAAUUAUAUCCUUCACCAAAACUGUUGAAAUAAUGAACUGAUCUGAAUUUCUCUUAUUUGUAAAGGCUGUGUUAUAUUGAGGACUAGGUUUUAACACCAAGCCCCGCUCUGCUUGUCACAAAUCAGACCCCCUCAAACCACUAAGCUAUUUUUGAAAGGAAUUUAAAAAGAGUCAGUGUUAUAAAGUUUUGAUGUGGCUACUAUUUCUGAACAGUAUUUCCAAAAUCUGUGAUUAUUCUCUACUUCAGAGAGAAAAGGUCUACAUACAACCUUCAAAUUCUCUAAUGUUCAAAGGGGCAGACAGCGAGCUUCCUGCGUGAGCUAGUCCUUGAGUCGGCGUCCUGUGUUGGGCACAUCCAGACAUUUCCAUUCCAGUUCUGAUUGGGACAUGCCACCACGAAUGUUCAAUUAUUCCAGCAAUCUCAGUCUUGUUCUCCAGUUUGUCUUCUCUCCAGCUUGCUAAAUUCAGUACACUACAUUCUAAAAUUGAUUAUCAACAAUACAGGCAUAACUUUAUCUACAAGAGAUCUUUGUAUACCCUGUUCUCUGUCCUCUGAAAUUUUGCUCCAUUCUCCCACAUUUUUAUUGUCAUUGUUAAUGUCACUCAUUCUGGAAAUAUAAGAGAAAUUUUGUUAAGUAUGUAAUGUGUUCCAUGAGACUUUGUAUACCUCAGAUGUUUUUCUUUUUUUUGGAAGAAAAGGAGGCUUUUCAAUGAAGAUAUCGUCAUUGUAUUUUAAAGUGAAGUCUUUGACUGAAAUGGCAUGGAAGAGAUGCCUCCCUCAGCAAUAGUUUAGUCAAAUAAGCUGGGCCCAAGAAAAAAUAAUUAUUGGAUAAAGGAAAGUCACUAUAAAAUUAAUCUUUAAUGUGGAAACUAACUAAAAUUUUUUUCAUUAGCUCUGCUACUUUAAGUGUGUAGCAGUGAUGUAAUACAUGCAUACUUCUAUUGCCUUUUGCAAUUUAGCAAUAGAUAUACUGUGAAAGAUUGUCACAGAGUCCAAGGGGGCCCUCUGAACCCUUUCUAGUCAGACUUCCCUACUCAGCACCUUUCCAGUUUGUUAGAGUCCCAGCUCUUCUAGAACUGUGCAUGAUUACAAUAUUAAGUACAAUCAUAAUAUGGCUUUUAAUUUGUUUCAACUUAUUCAUUGCUUUCUGAGUAGCCCUCUUAUUAUCCCAAUGUCUAUGGCAUAUCCAUCAUCUAAGCCUACUGGAGCAUCAAUUUUAGACAGAAUAAACAUGCCUGAAAUUUUUAAAGUUUUUAAAGACAACAAUGUUUCUCAGGCUUAAAUUUAGAAAGAACUCUUUAUGGUUGCUAAUAUUUCAGGUACUAUGCAGACUGAAGCAGUCAUCAAAGCAAGCUAUGCAACUGCUAACAUAGGACAAGUAUGACUUAUGGAACUCAAUAAAAUUAUCCAACAGCUAUCAAUCAAACAGCUAGCAUCUCACUGACAUUUUGUUGAUCUCGGGCAAUGACAGCUGCCACUGUCUUGGACACCUUCACUUGUUUGGACCAAUCACAGUUUUUCAUCUUGUUUGCUGAAGGCAGAGGUAUUCUCAUAAUCUGAAGAUCUUCUUUAAAGAAACCUGCAUAAAUCUCUCCUAUGGUACAAUAAGGAUGGAAGAAAUGACACUUCCUCCAAUGAACUGCUUGUACCGUUGAUCCCAUUGUGAUACCUGCUUAGAACAAGCAACCACCACAAUUGUGUAUAUCUUCAACAAAAUGCUGAAAAGAAACACUUUCUUGUCUUUCAAUUGAAUAUUUUUAUUUCAUAUAAUGCUAGUAGAGAACAAAUAAACCUAUACUAUUGAUUUAUUUAUCAUGAAAUAUUUCAUUAUAUACAUUGUGAUGUGUUAUGUGUUUUUUUCUUUAAUUAGAAAACUAAUAUUAUUACUUCUUAAGUUUAGAAAUACUACCUUAGAAAUUUAUGCUUCAAGAUUCUGGAUUUAUGUACAAAAUACCCUAAAAAGGAACUAUAUUCCUGAGAUGUUCACAAACAAUG